UUGCACGGGUAUACUACAUGAUGUGUGUGGGUGAUGUGGCUGGUAACUGAUGGAGAAAUCUGGGGCAUCACCCCCAAAGCUCACACACCCGUGGUGGUCCCUCAGGGCUGAGGAGGAAGGGAGCAGUGCAGGCAGGAAGAGGGGUGGUCUUCUGCACUGCCUUCGUGUGAUCCCUCAUCUUCACUCUAGAGCUAGAUAUCUCGAUUGAGGAAUGAAUGGAGAAAUGGGGACCCGGCCAAGGAGUCCCCGGCCAAGGAGGAAACUGGCGAGAGAUGCUUCUGGCAGACCAGGUGACUUAGGGGGGAAAUUUUUUAAAAAAGUAAUCCAAUUUCAUGUACGUGCAUUUCCUCUGGAAUUGCAAUCUCUCUGAAAGGACAGAGGAGAUUUCAUUUUCCAGUUAUCACUUUUCCUACGCUAUUGAGACAGCAUUACUUCAAAGGAUUGGACUGCUCCAGCAGGCUACCCCUCCUUCCGCGUUACAAGGUAAAAUGAUCUCCAACAUAACAAUAUCUCCUUCCUGUUCCAUCAGUCCUGGCUGCCAGGAAUUGUUUCAGGUAGAGGUGUGAGCAUGUGACCGACAUCCAGGUUCAAAGAGGCAGACACACCAAGCAGUCAUGAGACUUGACCGGAAGGACAAGACAGGAAGCCGGUGUUGAAGUAGAUGAUCAAUAACUGCGUGGUCCCCAAAGAGAUGACUGUUCGAGCAGCUUUUCCGUGUGCCCUUUCAGAGUCACGAUGAAAACCCAGGCAAGAAGAAAACUUUUUUAACUUUCAUAAACUCAUAUUUGGUUCAAUAAAAAUGCAGUUGAUUUA